UACAGAGGUCUCAAGCGUUGUUCGGAUUCAUUGGGCGUAAAGGGUGUGUAGGUGGCGCGCUAAGUCGGGUGUGAAAUCUCGGAGCUUAACUCCGAAACCGCAUUCGAUACUGCCGUGCUUGAGGACUGGAGAGGAGACUGGAAUUUACGGUGUAGCGGUGAAAUGCGUAGAUAUCGUAAGGAAGACCAGUGGCGAAGGCGGGUCUCUGGACAGUUCCUGACGCUGAGGCACGAAGGUCAGGGGAGCAAACGGG
rnacentral:rRNA from 1 species